rnacentral:snoRNA from 1 species
UUUGGUGAUGAAAUAUGCACUGGGCUCUGAGCAGACUUUCUUUCUGCGCUAAUUUGAUGGAAAUGCAGCCUAGAAAGCUAUAUCUGAUCU